GAACACGUUCUUCUACAAAAUAACCGACCUGUAUUUAGUGCUAUUGAUUUAACAUCAGUCGAAGCAAAAAUGGCAUCAAUGUAUGCGUCUAAAAAUGUUAAAUUUAGAUGGAGACAAUCCAGAAAGAGCUGCCAGGAAGUGAUCGAUUUCGGACACGAAGAUUGAGAAGUGCCUGGAUACAAGGCUAGUAUUGUUAAAAUCAUCUGAUACAAUCAACUGGAACAAAGCUGAAAUGGCUGCCUGACCUGACUUAAAAAUUGGAUGGCAGUAUCAGACUAGAAGAUUACAAGUAUUGAGGUGGACAAAAUGAAACCUGAGCCUACCAAAGCUGACAGAUUGCACAAGAAACACAUAAAUGCAGAUUGGAAGAUUCAUUCUCUGGAAAGUAGAAAAGGGCAUGUUACAUACUGUUAUCACUGCCAUGACAGAAACCAUAUUGAGGAGCUGGUCCACCUGUAGGAAGAAUUGCGCUAUUGGUUGGAGCAGCACUAUUACCCAGCCAUACACCAGCACUUAGUUUGUCAUAGGGAGCAUUUCUGAGCAGUUAUGGAGACCACUAACUAUGCAGUUGUUGCAGUGAAACUUGCACCAGUGUGUUUUCUGUGGAGAUAAAGAGAUAGUGUCCAGCAAUGAAGACCCAACUCAAGAUCUGACCUUGUAAGGCCAAUAUGAAAUAACUGUGUGGGAAAAUGGGAAAAACCUGCAGUCAGGAAUGCACAGAAAUCAUCAAAAGAACAGUGA